GUAAAAGCCUCGAUAACGUCCAAAAUCUCCAAUGCAACGGUUUCUUGAGCAGCGGCCUCAGGGAAGAAAAUAAAUUCACUCCUGAUAAGGACGUCUAGAGAUAAAGUCAGGAACCCUCUUUUCCAACUGACUUGAUUGAAUAUCGCUGUAGAAGUUCCCCCUCUCUUCUUUCCGUCUUGAUUUUAGCCCAGAAUUCAAACUUCAACGAGUAUG